UUUCAUGCACCUCAGGUUGAAUCACUACUUGAGGUUCUCCCCAAUCGAUUAACAGGUGAUAUUUUGGAACAACUUCGCACUAGCAAGCAAACUUUGGUCGAGUUGGGAUCUUGAUCUCGGGAUCUCAGGCAGAUGCUACUUGAUCUAUUGGAAGAUACACAGGAAUUGCGCAGGAUAUGUAUUAUGGGAAGGAAUUGCACAGUUGAUAGAAUAACUCACUCCUUAGAACGCUCAGUCCCCUUGGACAAAGAUAUUGCAGAGGAAGAGGAGGAAGAAAUUGAAAUGUUGUUGGAAAACUAUCUUCAGAGGUAGUUUUAACCCUUCAAACAUGCCUUUUUUCUCAUUUCUUUCAUCUAUUUAAUAUACCAGGCAGUUCAUCAAGAAUGCUUGU